CACAGUCCCUGCCAGGGUGACAGGGAGCCUGAAUCUGGCUGGGACACUUCCUGCCAUGUCCUGCAAGUUAAUAAAGGGAUAAGCACAACACAUCACAUCUGGAAAUGGGGCCCUUACACAUGGGAAGGAGUGUGGCCCCUCUGCUGCUUUUAUCAGGACUUCUGCUCCUGGGAAAGGUAGGGAAGGGGAUACCCUGUGUCAUUUGUAAAUGAGACCCUAUGAG